rnacentral:lncRNA from 7 species
GCCAGGUUUCUUGCUGCUUUUCCAAAAAAUCACCAUUUAAGAUAGACUGGAGGCUAUUUUGUAGCUGAAGACUCUGAACAGUAGUAUUUUCACUGUUCCAUCACCCUUAUAAGUUUCUGAGAUGUAUUCACCGACUUUCUCUGGCUGUAUGGAUUAUUUGCAAGUGGAUCUCCAACUUGAAUGGAGAACACAAAAAUCCUGAGGCUCAAAGAGGUCCUCUAGUGAAAGACGCUUCUUCUGAGUGCUGUUUUCAGCCAGCUCUUUGCACGGUAAUUCUGAUGGGCCUGCAAAAGCUGUCUUCAGCUUCUCUUUAAAAGUUGCUGUACAUCCUUUCAGUGUUUUUAGAAAGAAGGAGCAUUUGUGUCAGCAAAUCCACCCAAAAGACCCCUUCUGUCAGGAAUGAUCUCCCUGAAUUUGGAGGGGAGGACCAGGAGACACGCUGACACCAUGAAGCUGCAGGGAGGUUUCCUUCAGGAAGGUAAAAAUGUCAUAAAGAUAGCUUUUAAAACACUAUAUUGACUUUUUAAAGAGGAUUCAACUGUGUUGAAAAUGAGAUAUGUGAAUUGCUUUUCCUGUGAUGCUUCAAAGAUACAAUUUUCAAUCCUUUGACUGGAACAAACCUGCAAUCAUUUUGCUUCUUGUCAGGGCUAUGUCUCUGUCAGACGUUCUUUAAAAAGGCUGUUUGGCAGAUUUAUGAAACAACACAUAUUAAAGAUCCUGAAGAUUUCAAUAUAGUCAGUCAUAGUCAGAUAGAAAUGUAAGCCACUGAUUGAAUGGGCAAUUGCAAGUAUUUCAUGGCACAUUGUGCUGCCUACGGUUGAAUCACCUCUGCCUUUCUAUAUCUAAAAGACCCUUGGGGAAAGAUGCAGGUGUAUGUAUUAAUAUCCCCUGCUCAUCUAGCAGAAGCUUCUGCAGCCAGGCUGAACCUGUUUCCACAGCAAGUUUCAUAGCCUGUAUCCAGCAUGGCAAAAAUAGGUUGCUGACACUUGUAUGCACUGAAGAGAUGUUGACUUUAUGGAAAUAUUAAGUGAAUCCAUUAAUUUGUUAUGAGCAGUUGCCUUCCUGGUAAGUCCUGCAUUUUCCCAUUUAUUGUAUUUGGUCUCAGCCAAACUGUUACCAUAUCAGAUGCCAAAAGUCAGCUCAGACAGAGGUUUUACAACAGAGAAAUGGGGUCUGUUAAAUUGGGCUGAGCUUUAGAAACUAACCUGUACAAUUCUAAAUACAUCACAGUUUCAGAAAGGGAAUGACCAUUACAAUUUAUUUUAUGACUCUUUUGCCACCCAAUAUAUACAUUUUGACUCUUCAUAAGGUUUCAUACUGUAUUCUGUAGACAACAGGCUUUACUGAAGAUCACAGAAAAAAAAAUGUGCCCAUGAUUUACACCAAAGAUUUUGACCUCUGGGAAUGUUUAAAGAUUUCAAAAGAGAAAAGUCACAGCAGUAGUACAUUAGAUAACAAGAGCUGUUUUGUGUGCAAUGAAAGGUUUUCUUAUCAUUAAGUGUUAAAUAUAUUUCACAGAAAUGUGCUUUAAUGCUUAAAUUACAUACCUUGUUAUAGUUGCUUUCAACUAAUUUGGAAAGAAAAAUACAGAGUCCAUUAAUAACUAUGCAAAUAUGAUACUUCACAAAUAUGUAAUUUAUUUCUUUUAGCUUGGUAUGAUGAAGGUCAAAAUGUUAUUUUGAGUUUUAAAUAAAUAGCCCUUUUGUUGUUAGAUUGAAUGCAAUUGUCAAGUGCAAAAUGGUCAAAGCAACACAGGUAUCUCAUGAGAUGGCACUGUCUCGUAAUGUGAUUUUUGUCAGUUCUGCUAGGCAGAGUUAACAAAUUAGAAAAUCUGUGGGCAAUAUAAAAUUCUUCACUCCUGUCAAUUCUUCACUUCUGUUAAUACUUACAAUGUAAUUCUGUUUACUCUUUCUCUUAGAUUUUUUUAACCUGUAACGUAGGUAUUCUUUUUGCCAACUUCAGAUUCAGUCAGUAAAUUCUCAGUGAGCAUU